rnacentral:rRNA from 1 species
AUGAACUUCUCCGACGACUGGCGCUUCCUCUUCCCCGUCUCCUCCGUGUUCAACCCGCCGUCCCUCGCCCCGCCGGACGCCUCCCACGGGCCCCUCUUCUUCACCCCUCUCCCGCCGCCCGUCCCGCUCCUCUCCCUCCCCUUCCCCUUCCCUCCGCCCCUGCACGCCUCCACCACCGGCGACCUCCGCCACGCCCUCCGCUACUUCAUCGCCUCCACCUCCUUCCUCCCCUACUCCGAUCUCAAGUCCCUCUCGGGACCCCUCCUCGCCGCGCCGUCGCCGCCGUUCCCACCACCUUCCAAUCUUCUCGCCGUCCUCCCCUCCCGCUCCUCAAGCUCUCUCGUCCUCUUUUUCCCGUACGGCGAGAAUGCGGAGAAGAUUGCUUUCGCUCUUGUGAACUCCCCCGUUGCGAGCUCUGCGCCCGUUUCGCCCUUCGUUCAGAGGGAUGGGUUCAAGCACCCUGGGCACCGCAUACAGCAGCUUGCUGCUAUUCCUGCCCAGUCGUCCUGGUCAUCGGAGCCGGAUGACAGCUGUGUCGAGGGUUUCCUGCUUGCUGCGACAUUGUACACAGUGAGUUGGUUCAGGGUCGAGUCACGCGAUUCGGGUUCCCCGGUGCUUGUACCGGUGGCCAAGCAGGGGUUUGAUGCUGCUGUCGUGCACGCGUGCUGGAGCAGGCAUUUUCCGUCACAAUGUGCGGUGCUGCUGGAGAGUGGGGAGUUGUGUUGGUUUGAUCUGAAUACACGACUUGGAGGAAAGACGAGCGUUGGUUUUGGCAGCAAUGGUGAAGACUGGGGGGACUGGCUGAGCUGUGCGUAUGGAGCGCAACCGUGGAUGGUGAUCGUCGCAAGCACAAAAGCCGUCCUUUUGGUUGAUUUGAGCUUUGCAUAUCAUGGUGACAAAUACGCCGUGGAAAACGAGCCACACAAGUUUCAGUACAAGGUUCUAGCAAAAAUUGGGUUGCCAGGGUUGUUUGAAACUGAGCCUUUUGACAGGACUGAGCAUUAUAUUGCAUUCUGCAAGGCUGGGUUCGAUGAUUCCCAUAUAUCAGUAGUGACAGAGCGUCACUUGAUUCUCCUUGAUGUGACAAAGCCGUUGGAACCUGUGUUGGCUUGGCAGCAUGGGCUUGAGAACCCAAAUCAUGUUGCCAUGUUUCGGCUAUCUGAAUUGAGACCUUCCAAGGAAUAUGAUUGGGCUUCAAAUUCAGGUUUUGCCAUUUUGGUUGGUUCGUUCUGGAAUGGGGAGUUCAGUUUGUUCUGUUACGGGCCUAAGGAGCAAGGUUGUCUAGAUAAUUCUCAUUUAUACGCUUGGGAUAUUCCUUCGAGGCUUUCUCUGACAGGUCAGCAUUGUGGCUGCAGCAAUGGAAUCAUGAAAGAGAUAUUCUCAACGCCUAUUUCAGUAUAUGAUGGGUAUGCUUCCCAACACCGCGCUAAGUCCAUUGUUGGCUACUAUGUGCUUCCAGAUGACCUCUCAAUAUCGGAGCCAACAUCUGCCAGCUUUGCCUUGAUCCGGCUAACAGCACUGGGGAAGUUGGAAAUGCAACAGUAUCGUGCAUCUCGAGGUCUGCAUGAUGAAAUUGACACCCCAUGUGAUGAAUCAGAACAUGCAUCCAUGGAUAGUAGUUCAUCCAUUUUGAUUGACACUCAAGGUGAAAAUGUCUCCACCAAAUAUCGAUUCUUGAAGUUGCAUUUCCUAUAUGAACAUCUGAAGGGCAAUCUAUGCAGUGCGUUGGCGAAGCAUGGUACUAGUGUUAACGGAGACAGAGAUCAAAUUAUUAUUAGUGAAGAUGUGUUGGCAUUUGCAGAGGAUAACUCUAGAUCCAGCUCGUUGCCAGUUUCAGAUUUCCUAUGUAAUGCUAGCAUCCCCAUGAAUGUUUUCGAAAUUGCAUGUCAGAGCAUAUUGAACAGUCUACCUUCAAAUAUUCUUCAUGUCUCCCUUUCUAAAUACAAGGACAUGCUAAAAUGCGAUACAAAAGAAGGCUUAGUAGAAUAUUUAAAAGUUCCUAGCUGUUCGCCACACAAUGAACUUCGGCCUUUCCUGUUAGCGAAACCAUCAAGCACAUGUGAGAAGGUGACUAGCAAAGCGGUAUCUCAAAAUGCUCUUGUUGGGCCAGUGCUCCCUGUGCAUGUCCUACUUGCAAUGGAAGAGAUGAACAGGGGCAUAGACAGCUCUUCGGAAAGAGAAACUGCAGAAACUGACUUAGUACGCCAUCGAUGUAGUGAGGUGCUUGAAGCCUUUGUUCCUGAAGUAUCCAUUGCUGAGUCCGACAACUUUGAUGGAUGGUUCUCCUCACAAAAGUUGAAUGACAAGAAGUCAUAUCUUGUUUAUGAGCCUCGGAUUGAAAAUAAGUUUACUCUUGAUGAAACUGUUAUAAAGAAGGAAAACGAAGAGCAAAAUGCCGCUGAUCGUACAUCUUUUGAAACGUCUGCAGCACCAUACAAGGAUGAGAACUUCAUGACAUUUGUCUGUGGAAAAGCUGGAACUCUUGAUUCUGGGCCUGAACAAACCACAUCUGAUUUGUUUGAUUUCACCCCAGUGAGGAUGGAUUUUGCUUCCGCAGAUCUAGACAUUCAACCUGCCGAGGAAGAAGUGUACAGAUGCUUGAAGAAACAAUUUUUAAGAUGGCAAAAUAAUUUCAAGCCAUACCAAGAUUUUUGUAACUCAUAUAAAAUACAAAAGCCAUCAUAA